AGGCCUAAUACAUGUAAGCGAACGGUGUCUUCGGACAUAGUGGCGCACGGGUGCGUAACACGUAUGCAACCUACCUUACAUUGGGGGAUAGCCUUUCGAAAGGGAGAUUAAUACCGCAUAAGACAGUAACUAGGCAUCUAGUAGCUGUUAAAGAUUUAUCGAUGUAAGCUGGGCAUGCGACCAAUUAGCUUGUUGGUGAGGUAAUGGCUCACCAAGGCUAUGAUUGGUAGGGGAACUGAGAGGUCAAUCCCCCACACUGGCACUGAGAUACGGGCCAGACUCCUACGGGAGGCAGCAGUAGGGAAUAUUGGGCAAUGGACGCAAGUCUGACCCAGCCAUGCCGCGUGCAGGAUGAAGGCGUUAUGCGUUGUAAACUGCUUUUAUACAGGAAGAAACGACUCUUGCGAGAGGCAUUGACGGUACUGUAUGAAUAAGCACCGGCUAACUCCGUGCCAGCAGCCGCGGUAAUACGGAGGGUGCAAGCGUUGUCCGGAUUUAUUGGGUUUAAAGGGUGCGCAGGUGGUUUAUUAAGUCAGUGGUGAAAGACGGUCGCUCAACGAUUGCAGUGCCAUUGAAACUGGUAGACUUGAGUAAAGUAGAGGUGGGCGGAAUUGAUAGUGUAGCGGUGAAAUGCAUAGAUAUUAUCAAGAACUCCAAUUGCGUAGGCAGCUCACUUGGCUUUUACUGACACUCAUGCACGAAAGUGUGGGUAUCAAACAGGAUUAGAUACCCUGGUAGUCCACACUGUAAACGAUGAUAACUAGGUGUCGGCCGAAUCUGGUCGGUGCCACAGCGAAAGCGUUAAGUUAUCCACCUGGGGAGUACGCCGGCAACGGUGAAACUCAAGGAAUUGACGGGGGUCCGCACAAGCGGU
rnacentral:rRNA from 1 species